ensembl:lincRNA
AUGGACAGUCUUGAACAACCCGAGGAUGUUAUUGUCCUAGCGCCUUGGUGCACAGUUGCUGGCCGUUCCCUAGAGGGAUGUGUUGGAAGCCUGCCCCCUGAGGACCCAAGCACAGAGCCCUUGGUGUGGCUGAGGCUGUACCUCGGGACCACCCUAAUCCCACUAAGCACCUGGAUUUCUGGAAGCCCGACAGUGGACCCUAUGUCCCCACCAAGCGAUACUCUCAGGUAGGAUCAAAUGUGACCCCAGCUGGCUCCCUCCCACCGUCCAGCGCGGCUCACAAAGAAAAGUAUGUUGUUGCCCUAGUGGGCCUCGCUGAGGUUUGCUCCUGAUGUACCUGCCUCUUUCACUCUGCCCUUAAAGCAGCUACGGGAGCUGCAGGCUUUCCCCACUGCAGUUCCCUAGGCAGGAACUGUAAAAUAGCUGCCCUGUCUCACAAAAUCCGGGCAGCAUGGGUCAAGCUUUCCGCGUGGUUCCCUCGGGGCACUUCACCUUCAGCUCGAGGAACUGGAAAGCAGGCCCUUCCUUUUCUCCAAAAGGAGGUUUAAGAAAGCAUCGUGCGGGACGCAGGACUUGGGGAACACUGGAGAACAGAGAGCUGUAGACGUUAUUUCUCCAACCAGAGCAGAAAAAGGGGCUUUGUGGCAAUGCGGGUCUGGAAGCUGCCUAGCAGUUCACUUGUAACUGAUGGCAGUAGAAAUGUCCCAGCUUGCCCCCAAAGGUGGCGUGCUUCCCUGACACAUCAUGGUAGCUCUGAGAUCACUAUCUCUUACUCACAGUGUUCUAGAGGAGACAAAACAGCUGCUUCUGGUGCUCAAAGAGGCAGGGGAAUGAUAUGAGAAGAAAUACUAAGACACGCAAUCAGUAUUUAGCUUUUGAAAUGCCGUUGGAGAAAAGUAGUAAAAGUGUGAUCUGGGGCAUCAACAGCUUAGGUUUUAAUUUCAGUUCAAUGUCAGCUACUACCAUGUGACCUCAGCCAAGUUAUUCAAUAUCUCAGAAUUUUAUCUGCUGAAAAAUAUUAACAUGAUCACUCACCUCCUUGACAUUAGAGUUGGUUCUGUGUGGUGGACAGUUUGUUGUAAACUCAGCACAAGCAUCAUGUCUGUCUAAGGUUGGGAACGACCUUUCUAGAAUCCCCGUUCCCAUAAGGUUCUGUGUGUGAAUAGAAGUUUAAGUUAGGGAUUUGUGCAAGACUCGCCAGGCAGAAGUGACGGGAGAGCACUGCUCUUGAAGCAAUGGUUGUGGAGGUUUGUCAGACAGGGUCUCGCCAGAGGGGAGCUUCCAGCCUCUUCUGUGAGCUCUCAUUGUGCGGUCCUGGCAGGAUUCUCAGACUCCACCCACUCUCCUGGCUUCAGCUGAAGUCCUUGUGACUGUUUUCUCCAGUUUGCCAUUGUCACCUUCUAGACGCUCACCCCCUUAUCUCCUCAUAUCCAUGUGAGCUCUUGUUUCUAUAUGAAGCUCUUAGUCCUCUGUUUUCUUAGUCAAACCAUUCUGAUACAACAUAUGCAGUAUUAGACACAUAGCCAAUACUCCACAAAUGUUAGCCAAUAAUAAUAAUGACCAGAAAAGGUGUCGUUCAAAUAAAUGUAAGGCUAAUAGGUUACUGCUGAAUUACAUGCAUUCCCUUGAUUAGCAACAGCAAAGAAAAAAGAGGAUAUUCUUACUCCAAACAUAACAAGAUGUGCUCACAUUUUAUAGCAAAC